UGGGGAAUAUUGCACAAUGGGCGCAAGCCUGAUGCAGCCAUGCUGCGUGUAUGAAGAAGGCCUUCGGGUUGUAAAGUACUUUCAGCGGGGAGGAAGGCGAUAAGGUUAAUAACCUUGUCGAUUGACGUUACCCGCAGAAGAAGCACCGGCUAACUCCGUGCCAGCAGCCGCGGUAAUACGGAGGGUGCAAGCGUUAAUCAGAAUUACUGGGCGUAAAGCGCACGCAGGCGGUCUGCCAAGUCGGAUGUGAAAUCCCCGGGCUCAACCUGGGAACUGCAUUCGAAACUGGCAGGCUAGAGUCUUGUAGAGGGGGGUAGAAUUCCAGGUGUAGCGGUGAAAUGCGUAGAGAUCUGGAGGAAUACCGGUGGCGAAGGCGGCCCCCUGGACAAAGACUGACGCUCAGGUGCGAAAGCGUGGGGAGCAAACA
rnacentral:rRNA from 1 species